UACAUAUUUAGUGCUUCAGAGUUUAUAAGUAAAAUAUUUGAUCAUAAUGUUUUCUUUAGAUUUUUAAUUUAUAUUUUUUUGAAGGUGAGAUCAAAAGCUGGCAAAAAGAAUAGGAAAAAGCUUGAGUACAAUCAUUGUUCAGGAUCUCGGUCAUUUGUUGCAACAAUGACUAUACAGAUAAUAUUGUUCACCCUUAUAGUCUUCCAGUAGAUUUUUUAUUCUAGUUUGCUACAAGUAUAUUUUUGGAAUUCUUUUAUGCAAGUAGAUCUGACAGUUAUUCUAGUUUUCUUAUUAUGUAGUGGCUAUAUGCUAAUCUAAAUUACACUUUGCAGCCGGAGUUUAAUGGUUAUGAAAAUCUUGAAUUUCCAGAAUUCUAUAAGAAAACUCAUACCAAGAAGAACAAAGAGUGGAUUGAUCCUAUUUGCGUCGUGAAACAUUCAAAGAUGUUGAGCUUGCGAGAAGAAUCUUCCCAAUCCGAUGUGCAAUUAACAUCAGAGGAGAUGUCUAAGCAAGCACUUGGAAAAAGGAAAAGAUACAUUCUUGGAUUUGGGGAUGGGCCGAAGCCCUCUUCAUCUUCUUCCACACCUAGUCGUGUGUCACAAGACCACGUUGGGGAGUUGCAGAAACUUAAAGCUAAGAUGGAGGAGAUGAAGAUGGAGCGUGAGGAGCUGCGGAGGCAAUUGGAGCAGGGGAGGAGAGAGCGUGAGGAGGAAAAGAAAAAGCGAGAGGAAGAACAGAAGCAAAUUGCACAUCUUACAAGUUUGGUGACAUAGUUCUUAAAGGGAAAGACUCAAACGCACAAGUCAUCUAUCCAUCAUGAUGGGGCCAUGUAUUCAACUGAUGGUACAAAUACUCGUUGGUAUGUAUUUUCAUUUAUAUUACGUAGGUUAUUUAGAAAUUUGGACCAAAUUAAGCGAAAUGUCAUUGUGAACUUAUACUUGAAUUUUAGUUUAUUAUUUUUCACAUGUGGUUAUUGAUUGUGUAUUCUUUUUUGCUUUCUCAGAUACAUGGUGGAGUUAUGAGCAUGUGAAAUCUAGUUUCUAGUACAUAGAUAGCUUUUGUUCAGAUGAUCAUGGUGGAGUUGUCUACAAGCAGAAUCCAGUUUUUGGUAUAAGAAUAUUUUUGUCUACAUGAUGGUUGUUUGGAUGAAUAGCAAGAUCAGAUAUUUUGGAAUUUUUAAUUUACAUUUUGAUGUGUUUGGUGAUAAUUAUCACCUUAACAUAUGGUAUGGAUGAAAUAUUUUGAUGUAUGGUUAAUAGGUAUGCUUGACUUUAGACUUAUAGAUGAUGAUAUUUAUAAUGAAUGAUUAUGGAUUCUCCAA